GCCGUCGCAGUGUAGUGGUCAGCACGCUCGACGCGUAACCGAGAGGUCCGUGGUUCGAUUCCCAGCGAGGGUA
rfam:Stegodyphus mimosarum contig59406, whole genome shotgun sequence.